rnacentral:lncRNA from 1 species
CCAGCUCAACCCUUCUUUAAUGUCAUCCAGGGAGGGGGCCAGGGAUGGAGGGGAGGGGUUGAGGAGCGAGAGACUUGGUAUUUUGUUCAAUCAUUAAGAAGACAAAGGGUUUGUUGAACUUGACCUCGGGGGGGAUAGACAUGGGUAUGGCCUCUAAAAACAUGGCCCCAGCAGCUUCAGUCCCUUUCUCGUCGAUGGUCAGCCCCAUUGCUGAAGACCUUAGUGAUGCCCAGUUGACCCAGGACGCUCUUCAGAUCAUAGGUUCCAGUAAUGGACAGUUUGGGUAAAUGUAAGCUGGCAGACCUGAACUUGGUGAUGAUAUCGUGGGUGAGUUCAUUUUCCAGGUAUUUCAUCAGCAGCACCCAGCUGGACAGCUUCUUACAGUGCUGGAUGUUAAACAUGCCUAAACGCUUCAUCAUAGGCACCUUCACGGUGGUCACCUGGUCCACGUGGAAGUCCUCUUCCUCGGUCUCCUUGACCAAAUCCACAAUUUUCCCUUGAGUACCCUUCUCCACGUAAUCGUUGAUCUGUUUCUUGGCCUCUUCGGUGUCCCCGAAGUUGACAGUGAAGGCUUCUGAGUGGUACAACUUUUUAACAUCCUCCAAAAACUUAUCCACUAGCUUCAGGCCCUCCAGGAUUUCAUCGUGAGUGUCAGCCUUGGUCCCCAGGGAGAGCAUUGCAAAGGCUGUAGCGAUGCUCACUGGGGAGAAGAAGAUAUUGGUGCUGUUGGACUGGUGUGCCAGCUGGCGGUAUAGGCUGAAGGCGAACUCAGCCAGGUUGGGUGAUCCUGAUCAUGGUGGGAUGUAUCUGUCUUCUGGGCAGCAUCUCCCUGGGGAUCCUCAGCCAGGGAGACAGGGACCAGGAGGAUGCCCCACGAGACAGAAGACGGCAUUGUCCUGCAAGACAGAGAUGGGGGGGCCAGGCCCCGAGUCAAGGC